rnacentral:rRNA from 1 species
ACCGGCGCACGGGUGAGUAACACGUAUGCGACCUGCCCCCCGCAGGGGGAUAACCGGGAGAAAUCCCGACUAAUACCGCGUAACGCCGCGGGGCUGCAUGGCCCGGCGGCCAAAGGAAGCGAUUCCGGCGGGGGAUGGGCAUGCGGCGCAUUAGCUAGUCGGCGGGGUAACGGCUCACCGAGGCGACGAUGCGUAGGGGUUCUGAGAGGAAGGUCCCCCACACUGGUACUGAGACACGGACCAGACUCCUACGGGAGGCAGCAGUGAGGAAUAUUGGUCAAUGGGCGGGAGCCUGAACCAGCCAAGUCGCGUGAGGGAAGACGGUCCUAUGGAUUGUAAACCUCUUUUGCCGGGGAGCAACGGGGUCCUUGCGAGGGCCUAAUGAGAGUACCCGGAGAAAAAGCAUCGGCUAACUCCGUGCCAGCAGCCGCGGUAAUACGGAGGAUGCGAGCGUUAUCCGGAUUUAUUGGGUUUAAAGGGUGCGUAGGCGGGCUGUUAAGUCAGCGGUCAAAUGUCGGGGCUCAACCCCGGCCUGCCGUUGAAACUGGCGGCCUCGAGUGGGCGAGAAGUAUGCGGAAUGCGUGGUGUAGCGGUGAAAUGCAUAGAUAUCACGCAGAACUCCGAUUGCGAAGGCAGCAUACCGGCGCCCUACUGACGCUGAGGCACGAAAGCGUGGGUAUCGAACAGGAUUAGAUACCCUGGUA